rnacentral:rRNA from 1 species
GACGUAGGGCGCGAGCGUUGUCCGGAUUUAUUGGGCGUAAAGAGCUCGUAGGCGGCUUGUCGCGUCGACUGUGAAAACCCGCGGCUCAACUGCGGGCCUGCAGCCGAUACGGGCAGGCUAGAGUUCGGUAGGGGAGACUGGAAUUCCUGGUGUAGCGGUGAAAUGCGUAGAGAUCCGGAGGAACACCAGUGGCGAAGGCGACACGCUGGGCCGUACCUGACGCUAAAGCGCGACAGCAUGGGGAGCAAACGGG